GGAGGGCUAGUCCUAACUUGGUAAGGCACCGGACUUGAAAUCCGGCUUCCAGCAAUGGAAAUGUGGGUUCGAAUCCCUCGCCCUCCG
rnacentral:tRNA from 1 species